AAAACUCUGGGGUUUGGCUGGAAAAUAUUAGACUAAACCCUGCUAACCUUCAGAAUGUAAGAUGAACUGUAAAGUGCAGAGCUCUUGAGCAAAGCUGUCCUUCCACUCCUCGUGGAUGUCCCUCCUACAGUAGCUGCAUCUUAAACUGGAAUCCAACUGAAGCAGCAAGGCUGCCAUGAAGCUUUACAGACCAUGUGUCAUGAGAAGCAGAGUUGUGCUCACACCUCUGUAGAGUUGUGGCUUCCAGCUCAUUGGGAACCUGGCAGUGAGUC